CCUACGGGAGGCAGCAGUGAGGAAUAUUGGUCAAUGGGCGCGAGCCUGAACCAGCCAAGUCGCGUGAGGGAAGACGGUCCUAUGGAUUGUCAACCUCUUUUGUCGGGGAGCAAAAGACGCCACGUGUGGCGUUCCGAGAGUACCCGAAGAAAAAGCAUCGGCUAACUCCGUGCCAGCAGCCGCGGUAAUACGGCGGAUGAGAGCGUUAUCCGGAUUUCUUGGGGUUAAAGGGUGCGUAGGUGGUUGGACAAGUUGGUAGCGUAACUCAGGAGCUCAACUUCGGAACUACUACCAAAACUGUUGGACUCGAGUGCAGGAGGGGCAACUGGAAUUUCUAGUGUAGCGGUGGAAUGCGUAGAUAUUAGGAAGAACACCGGUGGCGAAGGCGAGUUGCUGGACUGUAACUGACACUGAGGCACGAAAGCGUGGGGAGCAAACAGGAUUAGAUACCCCAGUAGUC
rnacentral:rRNA from 1 species